rnacentral:rRNA from 1 species
CUUGGUGGCCUUUGCGAGGGUCCCAGCACCCGAUCCCAUUCCGAACUCGGCAGUGAAAACCCUCAGCGCCGAUGGUACUUCGUCUUAAGACGCGGGAGAGUAGGUCGUUGCCAAGC